rnacentral:rRNA from 1 species
CCUACGGGAGGCAGCAGUGAGGAAUAUUGGUCAAUGGCCGGAAGGCUGAACCAGCCAUGCCGCGUGAAGGUCAGUGCCCUAUGGGCGUUAAACUUCUUUUGUGCGGGAGCAAUAAUGGUCACGUGUGGCCAGACGAGAGUACCGUACGAAUAAGCAUCGGCUAACUCCGUGCCAGCAGCCGCGGUGAUACGGGGGAUGCAAGCGUUAUCCGGAUUUAUUGGGUUUAAAGGGUGCGUAGGCUGUGAGGUAAGUCAGCGGUGAAAUGCCCCCGCUCAACGGGGUGAAGUGCCAUUGAUACUGGCUUGGUGGGAUGCGGAUGGCGUGGGGGGAAUGUGUGGGGUAGCGGUGAAAUGCA